rnacentral:lncRNA from 1 species
GAAUGGGGGAAAAAACCCCACAGGACAAGAUGCUAACCUCAUUAUUAAAAUGUUAAAGAUGAGCCCACUAUUUAAAAUGUUAAAGCUGUUUCCUUUUAAAUGUCCUAAUUUUUAAAGAAUGUCCCUACAUAAAAAGAAGAGUACCUCACAAGUGAAAGUUGCAGUAAUCACAAGAGAAAGCCCAGCCCGG